AGGCGACUGAGGCGGUCGCCUAAGGCCCCGGGCUAAUGCAAGGCCCCCGGGAGACUGACCAAAAGGAAGCAAAGGCCCCGAUCUGGGGCUGGCUACGAGUCUUCUCCCUUGAUGGAAAGGAGGUGGAGAGUUUCCUGGCCUGCAGAGGGGCAAUUUGGGAUGUUGGGGACAGUAGUUUUGUUUUGGGUGGGGAGAGCGAGAGAGAGAGGAGGGAUUUGGUUGGCUUGAUAGACGCCUGAAGCCACUCUUAUCUUUCAUCGCUUCUCUUUUUUGGUUUUGGUCUUGGUUUUCCUUCCCUCACAUUACUCCUGAUCCAGCUGGGCCAUCCGGAAGAAAGAUAGGGGGAUUGGAGAUGGACUUCUUCGAGGGUGGAGAUUCUUUUAGUUUUCUCCUCUCGGUUUCUUCUCCCCUCUUGGGUGGUAGAGACAGAAAAGGAGAGAGGGGGUUUAAUGGCUGCUGUGCUGUGAUGUUGCAGUUGCCGCUUGGGUACUUACUUGAAGGGGAGAUGGUGGGAUGGG
rnacentral:lncRNA from 1 species